UACGUAGGGUGCGAGCGUUAAUCGGAAUUACUGGGCGUAAAGCGUGCGCAGGCGGUUAGCCGUGUCCGAUGUGAAAGCCCCGGGCUCAACCUGGGAAUGGCAUUGGAAACUGGCUGGCUGGAGUGUGGCAGAGGGGGGUGGAAUUCCACGUGUAGCAGUGAAAUGCGUAGAGAUGUGGAGGAACACCGAUGGCGAAGGCAGCCCCCUGGGCCAAUACUGACGCUCAUGCACGAAAGCGUGGGGAGCAAACAGG
rnacentral:rRNA from 1 species